GCUGGGUGUGGUGGCACAUGCCUGUAAUUCCAGUGACUCAGAAGGUGGAGACAGGAGGAUAAUUCAAGGCAGGCCUCUGCAACUUAAAGAGACCCUGUCUCAA
rnacentral:sRNA from 1 species